UACAGAGGUGGCAAGCGUUGUUCGGAAUUACUGGGCGUAAAGGGCGCGUAGGCGGUCCUACAAGUCCCGCGUGAAAGCCCCCGGCUCAACUGGGGAACUGCGCGGGAAACUGUAGGGCUUGAGUUCGGGAGAGGGAAGCGGAAUUCCGGGUGUAGCGGUGAAAUGCGUAGAUAUCGGGAGGAACACCAGUGGCGAAGGCGACUACCUGGCCUGUUCUUGACGCUGAGGCGCGAAAGCUAGGGGAGCAAACGGG
rnacentral:rRNA from 1 species